AGAGUUGAUCCUGGCUCAGAACGAACGCUGGCGGCGCGUUUAAGCAUGCAAGUCGAGCGGCAAGGGCCUUCGGGCCCCUAGAGCGGCGGACGGGUGAGUAACACGUGGACAAUCUGCCCCCCGGCCCGGGAUAGCCCAGGGAAACCUGGAUUAAUACCGGAUGAGACGGGACCCGCGAUGGCGGGACCCGGGAAAGGCGCUGCGGCGCCGCCGGGGGAUGAGUCUGCGUCCCAUUAGCUAGACGGCGGGGUAACGGCCCACCGUGGCGACGAUGGGUAGCCGGCCUGAGAGGGUGGACGGCCACAUUGGAACUGAGACACGGUCCAGACUCCUACGGGAGGCAGCAGCUAAGAAUCUUCCGCAAUGGGCGAAAGCCUGACGGAGCCGACGCCGCGUGAACGAAGAAGGCCGUGAGGUUGUAAAGUUCUUUUCGGGAGGGGGAACAACCGUGGCAGGGAAUGGCCGCGGGAUGACGUGAAUCCCGGAAUAAGCCCCGGCUAACUACGUGCCAGCAGCCGC
rnacentral:rRNA from 1 species